UUAAUUAUACUUAAUUAUUUUAAUUUUCACAAAUUGAAAAACCUAAUUACAUAUAUUGCAUAUGUAUAGGCCUAUUCCAUAUAUAUGCAAAUUCAAGAGUAUAGAUAAAAUAUUACCAUAUUGUUAAAACUAUAUAAAAUUACAUAAAAGGGAAAUCCAUCCUACUUAAACAACAAAAAUAAAUUAGCAUUACAAAUGCUUAAUUAUCUAUUAUUAAUUAAGCACACCCCAGAUUAUGGUUACGACUAUAAGAAGAAAAAGUUUUUUGACCUUGUAAGAAACAAAUGGAGUGAUGAUUUGACAAGAUUGAUGAAGAACAAUUCUGAACAUUCAUAUCCAUGCAUUCUUCUUCACUUUCUUCUUCAUAAAUUGUUUCCAAAGUUAUUUGAAUACCAACCCUAUAACCAGAGAUUGAUCUGGUUAGCCGAGCUGGUGCAACUGCAGCAAAUGGAGUCCUUACCGAGGUAUUAGGGUUAGGGUUAGGGUUGGACAUGAGAGAACUUGACAGUGAGUUUAUUGGUAGAGAUGGUUGAAUUAUUCUUGCCAUGUUUAAUUUCUUGAUGAAGAUUUCUAUGUUCUUGCUUUAGUUAGCAAUCAAGUUUU
rnacentral:lncRNA from 1 species